AAAUUUUAGCCAGUUGUAAAGUGCGAUUAAAAACAAAUGAGUUAACAAAUAAUGAAUUCAAAAAAAAAAGAUAAUAAAAAAACGCAAUAGGUUCGCAUCGGAUUUUGUCUGUGCCAGACGAAGUUUCGAAUAUAGUACCUCCAAUAAAGAUGGCUUUUGUUAAGAUGCCUUUGCAAUAUCUUUUUGGAGGGAAAAGUCAAAAAAUUACUACAGCGGUCAUUAAAUAUAUCCACAUCCAAAAUUGGAAAUAAAAUGCAGUCUUCAAUUUUUACCCCACUUGUGCGGGAUUUUUUUUUUUAAACCCAAAUAAACCCUAUUUCAUGGCUGAAUGAUCGAUAAAAGUACCAAAAUAUGCAACUGUUUUCAAGGAUUGUGUAUGGAUGUGUGUGAUAUGUACAUUCAUGUCCCCCAAUCCCCAAAAAAUGAUGUGUAAACGAACAGGAUUUGUUUUUGUACAAUAUUUAGUUAAAUCCAGAUCAUAAAAUUUUCAAUGUUAA